UGGGGAAUUUGGACAAUGGGCGAAAGCCUGAUCCAGCAAUGCCGCGUGUGUGAAGAAGGCCUUCGGGUUGUAAAGCACUUUUGUCCGGAAAGAAAUCCUUGGCUCUAAUACAGUCGGGGGAUGACGGUACCGGAAGAAUAAGCACCGGCUAACUACGUGCCAGCAGCCGCGGUAAUACGUAGGGUGCAAGCGUUAAUCGGAAUUACUGGGCGUAAAGCGUGCGCAGGCGGUUUGCUAAGACCGAUGUGAAAUCCCCGGGCUCAACCUGGGAACUGCAUUGGUGACUGGCAGGCUAGAGUAUGGCAGAGGGGGGUAGAAUUCCACGUGUAGCAGUGAAAUGCGUAGAGAUGUGGAGGAAUACCGAUGGCGAAGGCAGCCCCCUGGGCCAAUACUGACGCUCAUGCACGAAAGCGUGGGGAGCAAACAGGAUUAGAUACCCUGGUAGUCCACGCCCUAAAACGAUGUCAACUAGUUGUUGGGGAUUCAUUUCCUUAGUAACGUAGCUAACGCGUGAAGUUGACCGCCU
rnacentral:rRNA from 1 species